UACAGCCAUAUCAUUUUGAAAUACUUGUUCUUCUACAGUCACCAAAGUUAAGUCAAGUUGAACCUAACCAGUACUUAGAUGGGUGACCACUUGGGAAUACCAGGUGCUGUAAG